rnacentral:rRNA from 1 species
CCUACGGGAGGCUGCAGUGGGGAAUAUUGGACAAUGGGCGAAAGCCUGAUCCAGCCAUGCCGCGUGUGUGAAGAAGGCCUUCGGGUUGUAAAGCACUUUCAGUGGGGAAGAAAGCCUUGGGGCUAAUACCCUCGAGGAAGGACAUCACCCACAGAAGAAGCACCGGCUAACUCCGUGCCAGCAGCCGCGGUAAUACGGAGGGUGCGAGCGUUAAUCGGAAUUACUGGGCGUAAAGCGCGCGUAGGCGGUCUGAUAAGCCGGUUGUGAAAGCCCCGGGCUCAACCUGGGAACGGCAUCCGGAACUGUCAGGCUAGAGUGCAGGAGAGGAAGGUAGAAUUCCCGGUGUAGCGGUGAAAUGCGUAGAGAUCGGGAGGAAUACCAGUGGCGAAGGCGGCCUUCUGGACUGACACUGAAGCUGAGGUGCGAAAGCGUGGGUAGCAAACAGGAUUAGAUACCCUAGUAGUC